rnacentral:rRNA from 1 species
CUCAGGAUGAACGCUAGCUACAGGCUUAACACAUGCAAGUACGAGGGGAAACGACAUCGGAAGCUUGCUUUUGAUGGGCGUCGACCGGCCGCACGGGUGAGUAACGCGUACUCCAACCUGCCCACCACUUGGGGAUAACCUUGCGAAAGUAAGACUAAUACCCAAUGACGUCUCUAGAAGACAUCUGAAAGAGAUUAAAGAUUUAUCGGUGAUGGAUGGGGGAUGCGUCUGAUUAGCUUGUUGGCGGGGUAACGGCCCACCAAGGCGACGAUCAGUAGGGGUUCUGAGAGGAAGGUCCCCCACAUUGGAACUGAGACACGGUCCAAACUCCUACGGGAGGCAGCAGUGAGGAAUAUUGGUCAAUGGGCGAGAGCCUGAACCAGCCAAGUAGCGUGCAGGAAGACGGCCCUAUGGGUUGUAAACUGCUUUUAUAAGGGAAUAAAGUUAGUCUCGUGAGACUUUUUGCAUGUACCUUAUGAAUAAGGACCGGCUAAUUCCGUG